UCAGCCGGCCGGGCGGCCGCACCAGCAAACGCCGAAAGGCCGCUGGUGAGGAAAGUCCGGGCUCCAUGGAGACACGGUGCCGGAUAACGUCCGGCGAGGGCGACCUCAGGGAAAGUGCCACAGAAAGCGGCCCGCCCCGCCUGUAUUUCGGCUCAGCCGGCGAUGACCGGAUCGAUCGAGCCGAAAUACUGGCGGGGGGAGGGGGAAAGGGGGGGGGAAGAGCCCACCGCGCGACUGGCAACAGGAGCGGCACGGUAAACCCCACCGGGAGCAAAACCGAAUAGGGGCGGCGCGAAGGGAAACCUUCAGGGCAGUUUCCGGCCCAGUCGCCCGGGUAGGUUGCGUGAGGCGGAUGGUGACAUCCGCCCAAGAUGAAUGGCCGCCACGUUUCGGCAUCCGCAAGGGUGCCGGGGCCAUACAGAACCCGGCUUACAGGCCGGCUGACGCU
rfam:Mesorhizobium sp. LC103 LC103_contig2, whole genome shotgun sequence.